rnacentral:lncRNA from 1 species
GAUAUUCUCAAAUCAAGUUCUCAUUUCUGCCUCUGGCAUCUCACUGCAACAGUACCAGACAUUGAUACAGUCUUGAUAACUUUCAAAAGCUUUCUUUGUACAUCGUCGGGUCGGAUCUGUGCAAUUAUUUUGUGGGUUUAAAAAUGCAAAAAUCUCACAUUUUGAAAGGUCAGAGAAGUUUCAAUUGACUACUUAUGGAAGAAGUGGAGGAAAGUGAGGAUCUCCAGAACUUACAAAAGGCUAGUGGCUCUGUAUGGCAAGGAAGAACCACCACCAAACAGUUUGAUGUACAGAGUUGGAGAUGAACAAAUUUUGUACUGAGAGAAUGGAGAUAGUGUAUAUAAAAGAAAUACAAGGCCUCCCUGUGUCUGUUCAGACAAACUUGCCUUGGAAAAGCUAAACUCAUGAAUAGAUGCUUAUUUAUUAAAUUCUCUUACAAU